rnacentral:rRNA from 1 species
UACGGAGGGUGCAAGCGUUGUCCGGAAUCACUGGGCGUAAAGGGCGCGUAGGCGGCCUGAUAAGUAGGGGGGUGAAAUCCUGCGGCUUAACCGCAGGGCUGCCUUCUAAACUGUCAGGCUAGAGCACGGUAGGAGGCAGAUGAAUUCCCGGUGUAGCGGUGGAAUGCGUAGAGAUGUGGAGGAACACCGAUGGCGAAGGCAGCCCCCCUGGGUCAAGAUUGACGCUCAUGCACGAAAGCGUGGGGGAGCAAACAGG